rnacentral:rRNA from 1 species
AUUGAACGCUGGCGGCAGGCCUAACACAUGCAAGUCGAACGGUAACAGGAAGCAGCUUGCUGCUUCGCUGACGAGUGGCGGACGGGUGAGUAAUGUCUGGGAAGCUGCCUGGUGGAGGGGGGUAACUACUGGAAACGGUAGCUAAUACCGCAUAAUGUCGCAAGACCAAAGAGGGGGACCUUCGGGCCUCUUGCCAUCGGAUGUGCCCAGAUGGGAUUAGCUUGUUGGUGGGGUAACGGCUCACCAAGGCGACGAUCCCUAGCUGGUCUGAGAGGAUGACCAGCCACACUGGAACUGAGACACGGUCCAGACUCCUACGGGAGGCAGCAGUGGGGAAUAUUGCACAAUGGGCGCAAGCCUGAUGCAGCCAUGCCGCGUGUAUGAAGAAGGCCUUCGGGUUGUAAAGUACUUUCAGCGGGGAGGAAGGGAGUAAAGUUAAUACCUUGGCGCAUUGACGGUACCCGCAGAAGAAGCACCGGCUAACUCCGUG